rnacentral:rRNA from 1 species
AGAGUUGAUCAUGGCUCAGGAUGAACGCUGGCGGCAUGCCUAAUACAUGCAAGUCGAACGAAGGUGCUUGCACCUUAGUGGCGAACGGGUGAGUAACACGUAUUUAAUCUACCUUAAAGUGGGGGAUAGCUUUUGGAAACGAAAGGUAAUACCGCAUGUGAACUUUAUUAUGGCAUCAGAAAAAGUUGAAAGGUCCGUUUGGAUCGCUUUGAGAUGAGAAUGCGGCGUAUUAGCUAGUAGGCGGGAUAACAGCCCACCUAGGCAAUGAUACGUAGCCGAACUGAGAGGUUGAUCGGCCACAUUGGGACUGAGAUACGGCCCAGACUCCUACGGGAGGCAGCAGUAGGGAAUUUUUCACAAUGGACGAAAGUCUGAUGAAGCAAUGCCGCGUGAGUGAUGACGGUCUUCGGAUUGUAAAGCUCUGUUGUAAGGGAAGAACGUUGAGAAGAGGAAAUGCUUCUUAAAUUGACGGUACCUUACCAGAAAGCCACGGCUA